AUAUUUUUUGUUGAUUGUUUUGUUGGACUUCGUUAGCUACUGCAACGUGUUUUUGUUGAUAGGAUAAGACUCUACAGCUGUCCAUAGUUACGCAAUCAGUCAUAAUUGCCCCUUUUGCCACUAAAUUCGACGUGGCUGCCGUUAACUACUAAGACGGACCAAAUUACGUUUUUGGAGAAUCAACACGUCCACACUGCUUUUCUCCGUUGACUACUGCUAUGGUUUCAUAAAGUACGGCUUCUUUAAAGACCUUUUAAAAUACCCUUUUAACAUAUUUUUUUAAGCGAAUAGAGAGCUAUAUCCUACAAUGUUCCCACUUGCUGGAGGAUUAAGACGGCUUGCUUCUGUGCUAAAGAGUGUUGCUGCGGUUCAGAACUACACAGCCCCUGCAAUAGAAGCCUUUGGAGCAGUGAGCCAACACAAUGAAACUUUUUUGGAGGCUGCAAUUUAUUUGACAAAGUCUUUAACCUUUUUUCUUUCAGCUGUUUUGAGGCUGAAUUCAAACAUCAGGUUGAUGCUAUUGUCCAUGACCGCAGAGGGCUGUGGUGGGGAUGCAAGUCUGUGCUCAAACAAAUCGCAAGUCAGCUGUCAGUCUUCCGGUUCAUCUCGGUAUGUGAACCACAAGCGGAACCCACGGAAGAGUCGGAGUACUACUAACGGGUUCGGGGACACCUUAUCUGUGCUGUAUGCUCUUUUAGCGCUACCUCGGUGCUCCCUGUCUGCCUGCUCAGUCAUGUUGGCUCUAAGCAGAUGUGUUGUUGCAGCACUGUUUGUUCACUUGGCUCUGUGUGGCUAUGUUAAACUAACACUUUCUGCCAUUUUGGUUCUGCGUGGCUGGGUAAGCCCAUUGAUCUAGAAUCCUAAUUUAUUGGACCCUGUACAAAUGCAUGUUUUUGGUCAUCAGUUUUUAAACUUCAGAAUGUUGUUUUUGUGGAUUUUAAUAUGCCAUGUUGGAAUGUAUUUAAUAAAAUCAUUGUGACAGUAUCUUUGCUCAAAAGCUGAAGAUGGGGACAGUCUGUUUUAUUGCAUCAGAUUUAUUAUGUCUUUAAAUAGAAACCCUCAGUAACCCAGUGGUUAACAGAUGCUACAAGGUAAAGGUCAUAGUGCAGGUCCCUUUUUACAAACCAGUCUAUGCCCUCCAUUUAAAACCAUUACUAACCCAAUUCUAGUAUGUUUUCCAGUUGAUCUUCACCUCACACAAGUCUGCAGUAGACAUUGCUGGUCACACUGGAUAAGAAGAUAUACAUGAGUUAUCAGGUGCAGAAAGAAGAGUCAUUUAGCCUAAACACAAAUAAGUUGUGUUUAGGCUAGUUGCAAGAUGCAUUUCUAAUGAAUAAUAUAACACUAAAUAAAAUUGUCCCAAAA